GAUGAAGAACGCAGCGAAAUGCGAUAAGUAAUGUGAAUUGCAGAAUUCAGUGAAUCAUCGAAUCUUUGAACGCACAUUGCGCCCCCUGGUAUUCCGGGGGGCAUGCCUGUCCGAGCGUCAUUACAACCCUCAAGCUCAGCUUGGUGUUGGGCCCCGCCGCCCCGGCGGGCCCUAAAGUCAGUGGCGGUGCCGUCCGGCUCCGAGCGUAGUAAUUCUUCUCGCUCUGGAGGUCCGGUCGUGUGCUCGCCAGCAACCCCCAAUUUUUUUCAGGUUGACCUCGGAUCAGGUAGGGAUACCCGCUGAACUUAAGCAUAUCAAUAAGCGGAGA
rnacentral:misc_RNA from 1 species